rnacentral:rRNA from 1 species
UACGAAGGGGGCUAGCGUUGCUCGGAAUCACUGGGCGUAAAGCGCACGUAGGCGGACAUUUAAGUCAGGGGUGAAAUCCCGGGGCUCAACCCCGGAACUGCCUUUGAUACUGGGUGUCUGGAGUAUGGAAGAGGUAAGUGGAAUUGCGAGUGUAGAGGUGAAAUUCGUAGAUAUUCGCAGGAACACCAGUGGCGAAGGCGGCUUACUGGUCCAUAACUGACGCUGAGGUGCGAAAGCGUGGGGAGCAAACAGGG